GAAACGUCAAAAUCGGUGCACCCAGUAAAAAGUUAUGAGGUAUAAUACAACGUAAGGUGACGAAAAUAAUGUCAAGUAAAUACGCGUUAUCAAAGAUUAAUCAAAAAGUAGUUAUCAGAUCUCGAUAAAAUUUAUAUGUGACCACAUGAUAAACAUCAGCUUUCGAUUAAAGUAAAAAUUAUCAAAAUCGAUACACCCAGUAAAAAGUUAUUGCGGAUUUUCAAGAGUUUCUCUCGAUUUCUCUGGAAUUCCAUCAUCAGAUCCUAGUUUCCUUAUCAUGGUACCAAACUAGGGAUAUCCCCUUUCCAACAAAAAAAGAAUUAUCAAAAUCGGUACACCCAGUAGAAAGUUAUGUGGUAUAAUACAACGUAGGUCGCCGAAAAAAAGCGUCAAGUAAAAACGCAUUAUUAGAUAUAGCUCGAAAAGUAGUUGUUAGAUCUCAAAUGGAUUUAAAUGGGACCAAUUGGCACACACCACCUUUCGAAUAAAAGAAAAUUUGUCGAAAUCGCUCCACCCAGUCAAAAGUUCUGAUGUAACAUACAUA
rnacentral:misc_RNA from 1 species